UCUAGGAUGCUGGAAUGCACUUAGACUCAAAACUCCGGUGCCUAAGGAUGAGUCUGCGGACUAUCAGGUUGUAGUCAGGGUAAUGACCUGACUAGCCUACGACGGAUACGGGUUGUGAGAGCAAUAACCCGGAGAUGAUAUCUGAGACACGAUAUUAGGCCCUACGGGGCGCAGCAGGCGCGAAAACUUCACAAUGUGCGAAAGCACGAUGAGGGAAUCCCAAGUGCUUGCACGUAAGUGUAAGCUGUUUCUUUGUUUAAAACGCAUUGAGAGUAAGGGCUGGGUAGGACGGGUGCCAGCCGCCGCGGUAAUACCUGCAGCUCAAGUGGUGGCCGCUAUUAUUGGGCCUAAAACGUCCGUAGCCGGUUUUAUAAAUGCCUGGGUAAAUCGGGCCGCUCAACGGUUCGAAUUCCGGGUAGACUGUAAAACUUGGGACCGGGAGAGGCUAGAGGUACUC
rnacentral:rRNA from 1 species